CACGUAGGGGGCUAGCGUUGUCCGGAAUUAUUGGGCGUAAAGGGUGCGUAGGCGGCCUGACAAGUCUGAUGUGAAAUCCCUGGGCUCAACCCAGGGCCUGCAUCGGAAACUGUCGGGCUUGAGUAUGGGAGAGGUGAGUGGAAUUUCCGGUGUAGCGGUGAAAUGCGUAGAUAUCGGAAGGAACACCUGUGGCGAAAGCGGCUCACUGGACCAUUACUGACGCUGAGGCACGAAAGCUAGGGGAGCAAACAGG
rnacentral:rRNA from 1 species